GUUCUAUUACCUCCGUCCAAAAAGUAUGUCUUAGAUUUAUCUAGAUAGAGACGAAUCUAACACUAAAACAUGUUUAGAUACAUCUCUAUCUAGACAAAUCUAAGUCGAGCUUUUUGAGACGGAGGAAGUAUAAU
rfam:Hordeum vulgare subsp. vulgare, WGS project CAJW01000000 data, contig: morex_contig_77511